AUUGAACGCUGGCGGCAUGCUUUACACAUGCAAGUCGAACGGUAACAGGUUAAGCUGACGAGUGGCGAACGGGUGAGUAAUGCAUCGGAACGUGCCCGGUCGUGGGGGAUAACGCAGCGAAAGCUGCGCUAAUACCGCAUACGAUCUGAGGAUGAAAGCGGGGGACCGUAAGGCCUCGCGCGAUCGGAGCGGCCGAUGUCAGAUUAGGUAGUUGGUGGGGUAAAGGCUCACCAAGCCAACGAUCUGUGGCCGGUCUGAGAGGACGACCAGCCACACUGGGACUGAGACACGGCCCAGACUCCUACGGGAGGCAGCAGUGGGGAAUUUUGGACAAUGGGCGAAAGCCUGAUCCAGCAAUGCCGCGUGCAGGAAGAAGGCCUUCGGGUUGUAAACUGCUUUUGUACGGAGCGAAAAGGUCUCCUCUAAUACAGGGGGCUCAUGACGGUACCGUAAGAAUAAGCACCGGCUAACUACGUGCCAGCAGCCGCCGUAA
rnacentral:rRNA from 1 species